UACAGAGACCUCGAGCGUUAUCCGGAUUUAUUGGGCGUAAAGGGUCCGCAGGCGGUCGUGUGCGUCAUAUGUCAAAUCUCUGGGCUCAACCCAGAAUCGGCGUGUGAUACGGCACGACUAGAAGCUGGGAGAGGCACAUGGAAUUACUGGUGUAGCGGUGAAAUGCGUAGAUAUCGGGAGGAACACCUGUGGCGAAAGCGGCGCACUGGACCACAACUGACGCUGAGGCGCGAAAGCUAGGGGAGCAAACAGG
rnacentral:rRNA from 1 species